CUACUAGCAUCUACACUAUCUGGAAAACAUGACCUCACCAAAUGAACUAAGAAAGACACCAAGGACUAAUCCUGGAGAAGUAGAGACAUGUGACAUUUCAGACAGAUAAUUCAAAAUAACUGUGUUGAAGAAACUCAAAGAAAUUCAAGUAACACAGAGAAGGAAUUCAGAAUUUUAUCAGAUAAAUUUAACAAAGAGACUGAAAUAAUUAAAAAGAAUCAAACAGAAAUUCUGGAGCUGAAUAAUGCAAAGUAUGCUCCUGAAUGACCAGUGGCCAAUGAAGAAAUUAAGGAUGAAAUUGAAAAAUUUAUUGAAACAACUAACAAUGGAAACACAACGUACCAAAACUGUGAUUUGUUUUAAGUAAGGACAAAGAUAGAGAUAAACAUAAAAUUACAUCUCUUGUGCUCAGUUGCUUUUCUUGUUAUAGAGAAUAUAAGUUCCUAUAAAUUUACUCAGGAAUAAAGAAGCUAAAAGAAAAAGAUACCUAAAAGAUUUCCAAAAUUUAAAAUGUUUUUACAUAAAUGACAAUGUUAUAUAUUGGCCUGAAAAUGCAGAAAAAUGACUA
rnacentral:lncRNA from 1 species